rnacentral:rRNA from 1 species
UACGAAGGGUGCUAGCGUUGUUCGGAAUCACUGGGCGUAAAGCGUGCGUAGGCGGCUUAUCAAGUCCGACGUGAAAGCCCGGGGCUCAACCCCGGAUGUGCGUUGGAAACUGGUUUGCUGGAGGACGGAAGAGGAGAGUGGAAUUCCUAGUGUAGAGGUGAAAUUCGUAGAUAUUAGGAGGAACACCAGUGGCGAAGGCGACUCUCUGGUCCGUUUCUGACGCUGAGGCACGAAAGCGUGGGGAUCAAACAGG